CUUGGAGAAGCCCCAAGUUGAAGGCCAUUCGGCCAUGUGCACCCCAACAAGAACCUUGAGAAAAAUUUGUUCAAAAAUUAUUUUCCUACUAAUUGGAAGGUCCCUAGCAAAGUGGAGUACCUAUUGGAGCAAGAAAAACAUCUAUUCUUGCAAGUUCAUAACCAUGGUCAAGUGCAGAAGUUGAAGGAAAAAAACUAACAAGUUUGGAUAAAUAAGCGUAGCUAAUAAGGCGUGACACAGGUACCUACAGACGAAUAGAAGGUUUGUCAGAAGAUGUUUCAGCAGGAUUGACGAGCUCCAUUUAUUUCUGGAGCGUUGCCGAGUCAGAGUAUAUGUAUGUUCUGAUUUCUAGAUUGAUGUUAGAGACUUUGGAGACAGCGUCGUGGGUAUUGGUUGUCAGUCUGUAAGUGGCUCCAUCAGCCGAUUUGUCAUUCUGUGUUAUGUAAUAAAUUUUAUAUAAUUACAGAUUUUGUUUAAUUUUGAGAACGAUAAAGGAAAGAUUUCGAAAGCUUAAUAUGUAUUUUACUUUUAUUUGAUUUUCAGAGUCCGAAGAA